GACGAACGCUGGCGGCGUGCUUAACACAUGCAAGUCGAACGGAAAGGCCCUGCUUUUGUGGGGUGCUCGAGUGGCGAACGGGUGAGUAACACGUGAGUAACCUGCCCUUGACUUUGGGAUAACUUCAGGAAACUGGGGCUAAUACCGGAUAGGAGCUCCUGCUGCAUGGUGGGGGUUGGAAAGUUUCGGCGGUUGGGGAUGGACUCGCGGCUUAUCAGCUUGUUGGUGGGGUAGUGGCUUACCAAGGCUUUGACGGGUAGCCGGCCUGGGAGGGUGACCGGCCACAUUGGGACUGAGGUACGGCCCAGACUCCAACGGGCGGCAGCAGUGGGGAAUAUUGCACAGUGGGCGGGAGCCUGAUGCAGCGGCGCCGCGUGCGGGAUGACGGCCUUCGGGUUGUGAACCGCUUUCGCCUGUGACGAAGCGUUAGUGACGGUAAUGGGUAAAGAAGCACCGGCUAACUACGUG
rnacentral:rRNA from 1 species